rnacentral:rRNA from 1 species
GCAUAUCAAUAAGCGGAGGAAAAGAAACCAACAGGGAUUGCCCUAGUAACGGCGAGUGAAGCGGCAACAGCUCAAAUUUGAAAUCUGGCUUCGGCCCGAGUUGUAAUUUGUAGAGGAAGCUUUAGGCGCGGCACCUUCUGAGUCCCCUGGAACGGGGCGCCACAGAGGGUGAGAGCCCCGUAUAGUUGGAUGCCUAGCCUGUGUAAAGCUCCUUCGACGAGUCGAGUAGUUUGGGAAUGCUGCUCAAAAUGGGAGGUAAAUUUCUUCUAAAGCUAAAUACCGGCCAGAGACCGAUAGCGCACAAGUAGAGUGAUCGAAAGAUGAAAAGCACUUUGAAAAGAGGGUUAAAUAGCACGUGAAAUUGUUGAAAGGGAAGCGCUUGUGACCAGACUUGCGCCGGGCGGAUCAUCCGGUGUUCUCACCGGUGCACUCCGCCCGGCUCAGGCCAGCAUCGGUUCUCGCGGGGGGAUAAAGGCCCCGGGAACGUAGCUCCUCCGGGAGUGUUAUAGCCCGGGGCGUAAUGCCCUCGCGGGGACCGAGGACCGCGCAUCUGCAAGGAUGCUGGCGUAAUGGUCACCAGCGACCCGUCUUGAAACACGGACCAAGGAGUCAAGGUUUUGCGCGAGUGUUUGGGUGUAAAACCCGCACGCGUAAUGAAAGUGAACGUAGGUGAGAGCUUCGGCGCAUCAUCGACCGAUCCUGAUGUAUUCGGAUGGAUUUGAGUAGGAGCGUUAAGCCUUGGACCCGAAAGAUGGUGAACUAUGCUUGGAUAGGGUGAAGCCAGAGGAAACUCUGGUGGAGGCUCGCAGCGGUUCUGACGUGCAAAUCGAUCGUCAAAUCUGAGCAUGGGGGCGAAAGACUAAUCGAACCAUCUAGUAGCUGGUUACCGCCGAAG